GACGAACGCUGGCGGCGUGCUUAACACAUGCAAGUCGAACGGAAAGGCCCUGCUUGCAGGGUGCUCGAGUGGCGAACGGGUGAGUAACACGUGGGUGAUCUGCCCCUUAUUUUGGGAUAAGCCUGGGAAACUGGGUCUAAUACUGGAUAGGACCAUGCUGUAGGUGGUGUGGUGGAAAGAUUAGUUUCGGUAAGGGACGAGCUCGCGGCCUAUCAGCUUGUUGGUGGGGUAAUGGCCUACCAAGGCGUCGACGGGUAGCCGGCCUGAGAGGGUGGACGGCCACAUUGGGACUGAGAUACGGCCCAGACUCCUACGGGAGGCAGCAGUGGGGAAUAUUGCACAAUGGGCGCAAGCCUGAUGCAGCGACGCCGCGUGGGGGAUGACGGCCUUCGGGUUGUAAACUCCUUUCAGCCAUGACGAAGCCCUUGUGGUGACGGUAGUGGUAGAAGAAGCACCGGCUAACUACGUG
rnacentral:rRNA from 1 species